UGAAUACGAGAUGCUACGGCGUCGAAGCAGUCUAUGUCAGACUUCCAAGAAAAGCUCGCAAUGUCAUAAACAAUAAAUGCCUGUACCAUAACCGACACAGGUGGGUAGGUAGAGUAUACUAAGGGGCGCGAGAUAACUCUCUCUAAGGAACUCGGCAAAAUGACUCCGUAACUUCGGGAGAAGGAGUGCCUUAUUUAUAAGGUUGCAAUAACAAGAUCCAAGCAACUGUUUACCAAAAACACAGGUCUCCGCUAAGUCGUAAGACGAUGUAUGGGGGCUGACGCCUGCCCAGUGCCAGAAGGUUAAAGAAGUUGGUUAGCUUAGCGAAGCUGAUGACUGAAGCCCUGGUGAACGGCGGCCGUAACUAUAACGGUCCUAAGGUAGCGAAAUUCCUUGUCGGGUAAGUUCCGACCCGCACGAAAGGCGUAAUGAUUUGGAUACUGUCUCGGAGAGGGGCUCGGUGAAAUAGACUUGUCUGUGAAGAUGCGGACUACCUGCACCUGGACAGAAAGACCCUAUGAAGCUUUACUGUAACUUGAGAUUGAAAUUGGGCUUUAUUUGCGCAGUAUAGGUGGGAGACGUUGAGAAUACUCUUGCGGGAGUAUUGGAGUCAUCAGUGAGAUACCACUCUUGUAAUGUUAGAUUUCUAACUUUGUAUCAUUAUCUGGUCAAAGGACAGUUUCAGGCGGGCAGUUUGACUGGGGCGGUCGCCUCCCAAAUGGUAACGGAGGCGCACAAAGGUUUCCUCUGAACGUGUAGAAAUCGUAUCUAGAGUGUAAAGGCAUAAGGAAGCUUGACUGUGAGACCUACAAGUCGAGCAGGGACGAAAGUCGGUCUUAGUGAUCUGACGGUGCUGAGUGGAAAGGCCGUCACUCAACGGAUAAAAGUUACUCUAGGAUAACAGGCUGAUCUCCCCCAAGAGUUCACAUCGACGGGGAGGUUUGGCACCUCGAUGUCGGCUCAUCGCAUCCUGGGGCGGUAGUACGUCCCAAGGGUUGGGCUGUUCGCCCAUGAAAGCGGUACGCGAGCUGGGUUCAGAACGUCGUGAGACAGUUCGGUCCAUAUCCGGUGUAGGCGUUAGAAUAUUGAGAGGAGCCUUCUUUAGUACGAGAGGACCGAGAAGGACAUACCUCUGGUGUACCAGUUAUCGUGCCAACGGUAAACGCUGGGUAGCUAUGUAUGGAGUGGAUAACCGCUGAAAGCAUCUAAGUGGGAAGCCCACCUCAAGAUAAGUAUUCUC
rnacentral:rRNA from 1 species